GGAGGAUUUUUUCCAGUAUCACAGUGUACCGAGGGAGUUCAUCGUGGAACACUGAACAAGUAUCAACAGUCACAUGGAGCAGAACAGCUUUUGAUGGUGUCCCCUCUCUCUUGCCACUUGUCCUUACUCGGAACACCAAGCACUCCUUCCAUUGGACUGUUUAGUCCCUGAAAGCAGAGCAAGGUAUCCUUAGCACAGCACUCGAACGUUAAAGAAAGGAUUCUUCAGUCAAAAUGAAGAUUCUCUAUGUGGAGAAACUUGGGACACCAUCAAAAACAAAGAAAUAAACGACAAGAGGAGGAGAGGAAGGAUUAGCAUUCCCCUCAGCCAUGGGCACACAUCUGUAUCUAUGUGUGUAUCCUCCGUCUCCAGUUGGACAGCACUGGAAGUUUAUCUUUCCACGGAUCACCAAAGGGCUGCACUACUGGGAAAAGGCAAAGCCUGCAUUUUAAACUCAUUUGCACAUCUGGAAACUAGAUAUCUAAAGAUACAUCCAUCCGGAAGAUAUGGUCCUGUAUUUGGUCCAGGCUGUAAGCAGUGCUGCCAAGCACCAGCUGAUUCCAGUCUGAGAAUCAUUCAAAUAAGCUUGUGAAGAGGAUAUCCUAUAGACCCACUACUAGGCUGAAAGAGGAUUUCCUCUUCUACUGAUCAACUGAUAACUACGGCAUACAUCCAUCUGGGUUUGUGGUACCAGAAAGGGCUGCAUAGUGGUUAGACCACUAGAUGAAGUAUUUGCUUGCUGGAUGGUACGGAAGAUCUGGACAGUCUCUUGUGGAAGGCUUGUGGAAGCUUUGGAUACAGAAUACAGAACAAUGACAUAGGGAAGAGAAGAGAGGAUUUCUGGAGGAAAAAUGCAUGCAGCCAGAUAGUAAGCCAGAGGCCAGGAGCUCUACAGUAGCUUCAGCCAGAAUGCC
rnacentral:lncRNA from 1 species